rnacentral:rRNA from 1 species
GAUGAACGCUAGCGGCAGGCUUAACACAUGCAAGUCGAGGGGUAUUUAUCUUCGGAUAGAGAGACCGGCGCACGGGUGCGUAACGCGUAUGCAAUCUACCUUUUACAGAGGGAUAGCCCAGAGAAAUUUGGAUUAAUACCUCAUAGUAUAUAGACUCGGCAUCGAGAUUAUAUUAAAGUCACAACGGUAAAAGAUGAGCAUGCGUCCCAUUAGCUAGUUGGUAAGGUAACGGCUUACCAAGGCUACGAUGGGUAGGGGUCCUGAGAGGGAGAUCCCCCACACUGGUACUGAGACACGGACCAGACUCCUACGGGAGGCAGCAGUGAGGAAUAUUGGACAAUGGGCGCAAGCCUGAUCCAGCCAUGCCGCGUGCAGGAGGACGGUCCUAUGGAUUGUAAACUGCUUUUAUACGAGAAGAAACACUGCUACGUGUAGCAGCUUGACGGUAUCGUAAGAAUAAGGAUCGGCUAACUCCGUG